rnacentral:pre_miRNA from 14 species
AAAAAGAGGACUACCCAGACUUUGGCGUGCACCUGGCAUACAAUGUAGAAAACUGUGUUUGCAAAGCAACAGCUACAUUGUCUGCUGGGUUUCAUGCUGAAUGGAGAUACUCGUCCAUACAUA